rnacentral:lncRNA from 1 species
GUCUAUGUGACUGAUUCAUAUAUGUCAUUCUCUCUGCUUAGAAAAAAAAAAUCAUAUAUGAAAAAUAUAGCACCGAAGAAUUAAAAUACAAAUAACACAAAAGUGAGAUUUGAUCUUGUUUGUUGGACCAAAAAUAAUGAGAACAAGGACCCCAUAAGUUCCAUUCAAAAUUGUUAAACCACAUCAUGGAAAAUUCAAAUUUCCUAUGGCUUCAAAUGGCACGUGGAAAGUGGAGGGACCAUAUUUAUAAUUAUUACAAAGAUGAUAACUAAUCAGAAAAUAACCAUGUUUGAAAGUAAAUUAAACUGAAUUAACAGUAAAAUGUGGAAAUUUUGGAUUAUAAGGGACCCAAAACUUGAUUGCAAAUUGGAAUCAACUUAGGACCACAAAAUUUUCCGUUGAUCCUCCUUUGUACAAUUGAAAGUGGU